UACGUAGGGGACAAGCGUUAUCCGGAAUUACUGGGUGUAAAGGGUGAGUAGGCGGCAUGGUAAGCCAGAUGUGAAAGCCUUGGGCUUAACCCGAGGAUUGCAUUUGGAACUAUCAAGCUAGAGUACAGGAGAGGAAAGCGGAAUUCCUAGUGUAGCGGUGAAAUGCGUAGAUAUUAGGAAGAACACCAGUGGCGAAGGCGGCUUUCUGGACUGAAACUGACGCUGAGGCACGAAAGCGUGGGGAGCGAACAGG
rnacentral:rRNA from 1 species